CGCCGUGACCUCACGCGGCCGGCAGGCUUUCCAGGCCCUUUCGGACGCUUCGGCUCCGCAGGCCGCACCGGCACGGCGCCAGGAGGGUCUGGAUAAUGCGGGCAGGAGGAUGAGCGCGUCUCGCUGGUGCGAAGGGGGCUCCCCGCGGCACAGCCUCGGGAACACGCUCAACAGGCGCUGGAGAACGUACCUGAGGUCCCAGCAGCGAGGGCGUCCCGUAUCAUUUAAGCAUUCCAACAGACAGGAAUGAGACACAUUCCUUGCACUUCAAUGCAAGUGGAAAUAUAGAUGAAUUCAGAGUUUUCUACUCUAACACAUGAGAGACAUACACAGCUUGAAAUUUUUGAGCAGCUAUCAUAAAAGUAGGCACUGACAUGACCUCCAUCCAGAUACCUGAUUUCACAACCUGGCCAGAUCUCCUGGAGGCUGCGCACGCCGGUGCGAGGAAUGUACGCAUCCUCCUUGGCUUGUACCACUAUGAUUAAACUUGGG